rnacentral:rRNA from 1 species
GAUGAACGCUAGCGAUAGGCCUAACACAUGCAAGUCGAGGGGCAGCACAUGAAGUAGCAAUACGGAUGGUGGCGACCGGCGCACGGGUGAGUAACGCGUAUGCAACCUGCCUACAACAGGGGAAUAACCCGUUGAAAGACGGACUAAUACCCCAUGACACAGGGAUCCCGCAUGGGAAUAUUUGUUAAAGAUUAAUCGGUUGUAGAUGGGCAUGCGUUCCAUUAGCUUGUUGGUGAGGUAACGGCUCACCAAGGCAACGAUGGAUAGGGGGAACUGAGAGGUUUACUCCCCCACACUGGUACUGAGACACGGACCAGACUCCGUACGGGAGGCAGCAGU